rnacentral:rRNA from 1 species
CCUACGGGAGGCAGCAGUGAGGAAUAUUGGUCAAUGGGCGGGAGCCUGAACCAGCCAAGCCGCGUGAGGGAAGAAGGUACAGCGUAUCGUAAACCUCUUUUGUCAGGGAACAAAGGCGGGGACGUGUCCCCGGAUGAGUGUACCUGAAGAAAAAGCAUCGGCUAACUCCGUGCCAGCAGCCGCGGUAAUACGGAGGAUGCGAGCGUUAUCCGGAUUUAUUGGGUUUAAAGGGUGCGCAGGCGGUCUGUUAAGUCAGCGGUCAAAGCCCGGGGCUCAACCCCGGCCCGCCGUUGAAACUGGCAGUCUCGAGUUGGAGAGAAGUAUGCGGAAUGCGCGGUGUAGCGGUGAAAUGCAUAGAUAUCGCGCAGAACUCCGAUUGCGAAGGCAGCAUGCCGGCUCCACACUGACGCUGAGGCACGAAAGCGUGGGUAUCGAACAGGAUUAGAUACCCGUGUAGUC